rnacentral:tRNA from 1 species
GUGGCAGUGUGUGGCUGUCCGCUUAGUAAGCGGAUGAUCAUGAGUUCGAUUCCCAUCUGCUUCA